AAGUCCAGAGAGCCUCGGGCACUUGUGCAACUAGGAGACUUGGAGACGGGCUCUUCUCUAAAGUGAAUGAAGAAACAGCCAAGCCAGAUUUCAGAACGGACUCCACAAAACCAUGAGAAGCAUGGGAGCUGUGCACACUUGUUACAGAUGAAUUAAGAUACGAUGACCUGAUCCGCAGGACAAUAAACAGGUCCUCACAUCUGAGCACAGUGCAAACAUCUCCUUCGAAAUGUGGGACUUGUAAAACUAUCAUUUUAAUUCACUCUGUCUGGUAGGGGUUCAGAGUCAAGCUCUAGCAGUUAUGAACAGAGACCCUUUGAAGUGUCAUUUGACACCUCUGAGUCACGGUUUGGACCUUUACGAAAGGUGAUUCGAACUAGGGCUUCCCUACAACUUCCUGGAAAAUGAACUAAAACCAUGAGCAAAGUGACGAUGGCACCCUGCUGGGACUUCUGGCCUACAACAGGUUUUGUGCCAUGAAGGUCUACAGUUACCAUAAAGGCAGAAUCAACAGACACAGCACAGAUAUCGAAUGUCUAUGCUACAAAUAAGUGAUUAAAUGGUAACAAUAAAACAA
rnacentral:sRNA from 1 species